CCUACGGGUGGCAGCAGUGAGGAAUAUUGGUCAAUGGGCGUAAGCCUGAACCAGCCAAGUCGCGUGAGGGAUGAAGGUUCUAUGGAUCGUAAACCUCUUUUAUAAGGGAAUAACUUUCUUUCCUUGUCCCGUUUUGUCUGUCCCUUCUGCCUCCGGCUCGGCUCCCUCCGUGCCCGCCGCCGCGGUCCUCCGGAGGAUCCGCGCGUUAUCCGGAUUUAUUGUUUUGAACGGUUUCUUCUGCGGCCUUUUAAGUCAGCGGUGAACGUCUGUGGCUCAACCAUAGAAUUGCCGUUGAAACUGGGAGGCUUGAGUAUGUUUGAGGCAGGCGGAAUGCGUGGUGUAGCGGUGAAAUGCUUAGAUAUCACGCAGAACCCCGAGGGCGAAGGCAGCCUGCCAAGCCAUGACUGACGCGGAUGCACGAAAGCGUGGGGAUCAAACAGGAUGAGAUACCCCUGUAGUC
rnacentral:rRNA from 1 species